UACGAAGGGGGCUAGCGUUGCUCGGAAUUACUGGGCGUAAAGGGCGCGUAGGCGGCACUGUUAGUCAGGCGUGAAAGUCCUGGGCUCAACCUGGGAACUGCGCUUGAUACGGCAGAGCUAGAGGAUGGAAGAGGGUCGCGGAAUUCCCAGUGUAGAGGUGAAAUUCGUAGAUAUUGGGAAGAACACCGAUGGCGAAGGCAGCCAUCUGGACCGACACUGACGCUGAGGCGCGAAAGCGUGGGGAGCAAACAGG
rnacentral:rRNA from 1 species